AGUAAUAUGUCUGAUUUAAGUAAUAAAUUGUAAAUUUAUUUAAGAAAAUUUUUUUUCUAUUACUA
rnacentral:tRNA from 1 species